rnacentral:misc_RNA from 1 species
GCCAUAUAGUGGUGUGUCGAGCCGUGGGCAGUCCGUGGGAACUCCCUUUAUCGCCUCGACUCUGGUAGCGAUCGAGGAUGGAGGUCAGGAUAUCGACAUCGGGAAUGAUCGAUCGUCGCCGCCGUGGGAUUUUUAAACUUUUCCGGGCGACUUUUCCUGGGCGAUCGUUUUGUGUCUUUUCCGAAGCUUUUUCAGCAAAGUUCGACAAAACCGCUGAAUCGCCGAGAGAACGGCUGCCUUCUAUCGUGGGCCGCCAUUGCUCUUCGAGGCGCAGGGCGGCUGGCAUGAGAAGCGUCGCCUGUUUAGCGAGUUUUCUUGGACAAAAAUUGCUGAGUGGUCGGUAGGCGCGUCGGCUGGUCGGCUGACUUUCGAGCCCAGCGGCGGUAUGCCCUGUCUCGUCCGCAUGAUACACGAGCACACCCACGCAUCUUUUCACGCCGCCGGCCGGGCGCAGUCACGCAUGGCCGACAUGGAUUCUUCUUAAAUGUGGCUGGGCAUAGCGUCUGCCAAGCGCCCACCUAGUCACUCCGAGAUGCACCCACGGGCACGAUCUCACCGCCUAGCACUGAUAGCGCUCGGAAAGCAUGGAUCCGCCCAGUUUGCUGUCUCGGCGGUGAGCGAGUGUGAAGUGUCGCACAUAAGCAUCGACACUGCAGGCUAGAAUCGGAACGAGAUUGGUGGCAAGAUUGAAAAGGUUACUUCAUACUACCAAGGUCUUAACGCUAACCUUCCUGUUUGUCGAUGUUACCUGAGAACUAGCAAAUCGUAACGAAGUCUUGUUCUUUGCGCAAUCAUCUUUUGACGGGAGUCCCAUUGCCGCUGAUAGCCGGCUUGUGGCGAUGAACGAAGUAGUGAACCCUGUCUCGCCUAAACUCGGGAUGGCAGCUAGCCUGCUGCUGGCAGGAUCCGCCAGCUGUCCCGAAAGUGAGCGAGGUGAUGUGUGACGCCAUGGGCACACUGUGGGAACUAACUGAGACGGGUAGCAAGAUCACGAAAAGCACUCAUACUACCGUGGCUAACACUUCUAGCCUAGCUGGAUACAGAUCUCCUAGAACUAGCAAACCGGUAACGAAGAUGUUCUUGGCAACCAUCUUUGAGUGGGAGUCCAUGCAGCCGCCAGGGUGAUGAAAUGUGAACCUGUCUCGGCCUAGCCAGGACUUGGACUGCAGCCGCCUUAGGAGCAUGCGAUCCGCCAGGCUGUCCCGGCGGACUCGCGCCAGGCUUGGAGCUCGAGCCUGCCCGUCUUCUUUCUAGGCCGAGUACUGGCAGAUUAAGCCUGAACGAUUGAUGAUUUUGAGUUAACUGUCAACGCUUCGGCUAGAGGUGAUCGUGUUAGCCUAGUGCCAGAGCCUUGCGCAAGAUCGAACCACUACCACCUAUCCUCUCAGCCAUUUUACUGGGCCGAUGCUUGACGCCAUGAUGACAGCCGGUAGCCGUGCCCACUACUCUGAAUUAGCUGGUCCCGGCUCUGUCCAGCGACGCUGUCGCCGUGAAGUCGCGGGCACAGGCGGCGCUGCUCCUCCUUUCACGCCACGCAUUUGCUGCUUUGCCGCGACUGGUGAAUGAGCUGGCGUCGGAAACGCCUCGAUGCGAAGUCAGACGUUUACGGCUGACUCGAGUGGUCAGCCUCGCCAGCUCAUCCGUUCCUUCGCAAAGAUGAUUGUCACACUGCCUUCUUCUCUCUUCCACGCUGGCAGGAUGCGGCGGGGAAUUGCUCGUGAUCGAUGAAUGC